rnacentral:rRNA from 1 species
GACGAACGCUGGCGGCGUGCUUAACACAUGCAAGUCGAACGGAAAGGCCCUGCUUUUGUGGGGUGCUCGAGUGGCGAACGGGUGAGUAACACGUGAGUAACCUGCCCUUGACUUUGGGAUAACUUCAGGAAACUGGGGCUAAUACCGGAUAGGAGCUCCUGCUGCAUGGUGGGGGUUGGAAAGUUUCGGCGGUUGGGGAUGGACUCGCGGCUUAUCAGCUUGUUGGUGGGGUAGUGGCUUACAAAGGCUUUGACGGGUAGCCGGCCUGAGAGGGUGACCGGCCACAUUGGGACUGAGGGACGGCGCAGAAUCCUACGGGAGGCAGCAGUGGGGAAUAUUGCACAAUGGGCGGAAGCCUGAUGCAGCAACGCCGCGUGCGGGAUGACGGCCUUCGGGUGGUAAACCGCUUUCGCCUGUGACGAAGCGUGAGUGACGGUAAUGGGUAAAGAAGCACCGGCUAACUACGUG